rnacentral:tRNA from 3 species
GCCCAGGUGGCGCAACUGGCAGCGCGGCUGAUUUGUAAUCAGCAGGUUAGGGGUUCGAGUCCCCUCCUGGGCU